GACGAACGCUGGCGGCGUGCUUAACACAUGCAAGUCGAACGGAAAGGCCCCUUCGGGGGUACUCGAGUGGCGAACGGGUGAGUAACACGUGGGCAACCUGCCCUCAGCUUCGGGAUAACACUUGGAAACAGGUGCUAAUACCGGAUAAUAACUUGUCAUCGCAUGGUGGUGGGUUCAAAGUUUUUCGGCUGAGGAUGGGCCCGCGGCCUAUCAGCUUGUUGGUGGGGUAAUGGCCUACCAAGGCGACGACGGGUAGCCGGCCUGAGAGGGCGACCGGCCACACUGGGACUGAGACACGGCCCAGACUCCUACGGGAGGCAGCAGUGGGGAAUAUUGCGCAAUGGGCGGAAGCCUGACGCAGCGACGCCGCGUGAGGGAUGACGGCCUUCGGGUUGUAAACCUCUUUCAGCUCUGACGAAGCGCAAGUGACGGUAGAGCAGAAGAAG
rnacentral:rRNA from 1 species